UGCCAGCCGCCGCGGUAAUACGUAAGUCGCAAGCGUUAUCCGGAAUUACUGGGCGUAAAGCGCACGUAGGCGGAUUAGUAAGUUAGGGGUGAAAGCCCGGGGCUCAACCCCGGAAGUGCAUUGGAAACUGGCGAACUUGAGUACGGGAGAGGAAAGUGGAAUUCCGAGUGUAGGGGUGAAAUCCGUAGAUAUUCGGAGGAACACCAGUGGCGAAGGCGGCUCACUGGCUCGAUACUGACGCUGAGGUGCGAAGGUGUGGGGAGCAAACAGGAUUAGAUA
rnacentral:rRNA from 1 species